AGCGUCUAUUAAUAACGAAACGAUAAUUUGUCAACAAUGAUAAUCAGAUACUUGGCUUAAUAAUUUUCAUUUAAAAUGUCUUACUUGGAUAUAAUUCGGAAUACAAAACGAAACUUGAAAGGUAAAUCAUAAACUGGGUGUUUCACCUGGGACUUUCACAUCGAAACUGGCCCUUCCCCGUGAUCUCAGCACAAAAAAAGAAAGGCUAUAGCUGUUGCUCGUGCAGCAAAACAGCGACGCAUAAGACUCAAAACUUAAACGGCAUUCAAAGGACAGUGCAAGAAGUAUGAGCGGGACAAACAUACAGUUCAAACAUACAAGACCAAGAUGUUGAAGUUACAACUUUACCCCCACCUGUACCCAAGCCUGGUCCAGCAGGGCUAGACACUACUGGGAAGGAAUUUGUUUUCUUUGAUUUGGAAACAAGAGGGUUAGAGCGUACUUCUGACAUAAUUCAGAUAGCUGCAGUGCAUUCAACUGGUCAGUGUUCAACAUAUGUGAUGCCUGAGAAGAUGUCCUUGAAAGCGUCAGAAAUAACUGGAGUGACAGUUGUUGGCGACUCUAUGCUUGUCAAGGAAAAAACAGUAACAGCUGUCCCCAUCAAAUUUGCAUUGACAAGUUUUAUAACAUUCUUACAGAAAUUUUCACCAGUUAUUUUAGUUGGGCAUAAUAUAGAGUGUAUUUAAUUGUAAAGUGUUGCUCCAUGCUGUCCAUACUUGUGGAAAAAUGUUUGAGUUUCAGCAAAAUAUUUGUGGUUUUUUAGAUACUUAAAAAUGUUAAAGGAAAUAUUACCAAAUAUGAAAUCAUGUAAGUGGGAACAUUUAGUUAAAGACGUUAUUGGUGAAUUGCAUGGCACAUGGCGCUCUACAGGAUGUUUUAGCUUUACAAAAGUUAGUGAACUCUGUACCUCUUGACCAAAAUACUGUAAACAAAUAUUCAUUCAGCUAUGACCGAGCAGUAUUAGCCUACAAUGUGUAACUAAAUGUUGCUUCCAACAUCAAAUCUUUGCAAACCAUGAUUGAUACAAAAGUUAUAAGUCAAGGUGUUACAAGGAAAGUUGCAGGAAGUGGAUUGCAACUUAAACAUUUGAGUAUUGAAUCAGAAAGAAACGGACUGAGUGGUUUGAGGAGCCCCCUGUCAGAGGUUACAAACGGACAAAUCAGAGUAACAAAAUCAGAGAAAGUAAUAUGUGCAAUAGCGAGUUAUUUGUUGCCUGACAUCUAACCAAUUGUAAUUUGCAUCUUGUAUAUAGAUUAGCUAUGAAAUCUAAAAGCUGUUACAUAAUUGUUUUUCCUUCUCGAUGACAGACAUAGUUGUGAUUCUUAUGUCAGUUGUAUUUCUCAUGUUUCACCUAAGUUGUAAGAUAUUUUUGGCAGUGCAUUAAACCACAGAUGGUGUGUGAAACAUAAUUUCCCCGUAAUUGUAUUCUAUGUUGUUUUUAGCUCCACUGGCCAAAGGCCAGCAGGGCUAAUGUCAUGAUCCUGUGUCCGUCAUGCGUGCGUGCGUUAACUUUUCCUUUAAACAUCUUCUUCUCCUAAACUACUGGUCCAAUUCUGAUGAAAUUUCUUCAGGAAUGUUUCUUGGGUGAACCUCUUUCAAUUUUGUUCAAAUAAUGCCCCUGGGGUCAAAUUUGACCCUCCCCCGGGGGUCACAAAAUUGAACAUAUGCUUAUAUAGGGUCUAUUUUGUGAAAACUUUACAAAUAUUCUCGUCCAUAACCAGUGGGCAUAGGGCUACCAAAUUUGGUAUGUAGUGGCAUCUUAUACUCCUCUACCAAGUUUGUUCAAAUUAUGCCCCUGGGGGUCAAGAUUGAUCCUGCCCCGAGGGUCACAAAAUUGAACAUAUGCUUAUAUAAGGCCUUUUUGUGAAAACUUUAAAAAUCUUCUUGUUCAUAACAGUAUGGCAUAGGGCUACCAAAUUUGGUAUGUAGUGACAUGUAAUAGUUCUCUACUGAGUUUGUUCAAAUUAUGCCUCUUGAGUCAAAUUUGAAACUGCCCCGGGGGUCACAAAACUGAACAUAUGCUUAUAAAGUGCUUAUUUUGUGAAAACUUUAAAAUACUAUUGUCCAUAUCCAUUGGGCCUAGGGCUACCAAAUUUGGUAUGUAGUGACAUCUAAUAAACCUCUACCAAAUUUGUUCAAAUAAUGCCUCUGGGGUCAACUUUGACCCUGCCGCGGGGGGUCACAAAAUUUAAAAACGCUUAUAAAGCGCCUAUUUUGUAAAAUCUUAAAAAAAAUCUUGUCGAAAACCAUUCUGAAUACGGCUACCAAAUUUGGUAUGCAAGAACAUCUUAUAGUCUUCCACUAAGUUUGUUCAAAUUAUGCCCUUUGGGUCAAAUUUGAUCCUGACCCGCGUGUCACAAAAUUGAACAUUAUAUACGCUUAUAUCUUGCUUAUUUUUCUGAAAACUUUAAAAUACUCUUGUCCUUAACUCUAGGACUUAGGGCUACCACAUUUUGUAUUUAGUGAGAUAUAGUAGUCCUUUACAAAGUCUGCUCAAAUUAUGUCCCUAGGGUUAAAUUUGACCCAGCCCAGGUGGUCACAAAAGUGUACAUGUGCUUAAAUAGGGCCUAUAUUUAAGUAUUUGCACAUGGGUAGAAUAUUUGUUUCAGCCUUUUUAUCAGCAGUGGAGCGAUACAGGGCCAUCAUGGCCCUCUUGUCUUUAGAUACACAUCUCACAGUUCUAAAAUAAUGAUUUUAAAAUAAAACAUAUGUUCAAUUUACAACCCACAACAUGGAACAGGUGGGUGGGGUAAUUUAAGAUGUUUUUUGAAUAUCACCAUUGUUUUUUUUCAUUUGUUACAUCUGAAAUAUUUUCAUAACAAUGUACAUUAUAAAUAUUUCUACGUGUAUCACAUUUCAGUUGAUAAUUUGAUUGUUAUGGAGCAGUUAUUAUAUAGAUAUGUUUUAAUUACUAUUACAAUAUUAGUCUUUUUUUUUUUAAAUUAAGUCCAUAUUAAAAUGUCUGUAGCAAAAAAAAUCCACGGUGACCUAUCAAUUUCUUUACUUCAUUUUAAUGCUAAGCUAGUUUCCUUUAAUUAUUG